GAGGUAUUUAAAAACUAUAAAAAGUUUGAAAAAACAAAGUUUUUUUUACCGGAACGAUUAUAUCGUAUGAAGUUCUAGAUAGAAUAAUGAUAAUGACAAUUUUCUAUCUAUAUGUCUUGACCAAAUCUCGUGCCAGCAGUCGCGGCAAGACGAGAAAGACUAGUGUUAUUCAUCUUUAUUAGGUUUAAAGGGUACCUAGACAGUAUUUCUAGCCCCCAAAGGGUACGGAUUUACUAGAGUUUUAUGUGGGAGGCAAAUAUAAGUACUAUUAAUGUAGAGAUGAAAUUCUUUAAUAUUUCUAGGACUGAUAAAGGUGAAGACAACCCUCUAUGUAAAAACUGACGUUGAGGGACGAAGGCUUGGGGCGCGAAUAGGAUUAGAUACCCUAGUAGUCCAGGCAGACAAUUAUGAGUGCCAUAAACUAGAUAAUAUUGCAAAUAUUAGUUUUUAAACCAAAAUAGAUGUAGUUAUGUCAGAUUAUUACCACACAUUCUAAUAAUUACGGAUUGAUUAGUAUUCAGAUUAUCUCAACCUGAAUAAAUAAUGGAUGGAAAUAUACCUACGCCCUCUAGAAACAAUGCAUGGUAAUAUACGACUAAAAAUAGUAACUCUCUG
rnacentral:rRNA from 1 species